GCGGGUAUAGUUUAGGGGUAAAA
rnacentral:tRNA from 2 species